UACGAAGGGGGCUAGCGUUGUUCGGAAUCACUGGGCGUAAAGGGCGAGUAGGCGGCUUUAUAAGUCGGGGGUGAAAGCCUGUGGCUCAACCACAGAAUUGCCUUCGAUACUGUAGAGCUUGAGACCGGAAGAGGUAAGUGGAACUGCGAGUGUAGAGGUGAAAUUCGUAGAUAUUCGCAAGAACACCAGUGGCGAAGGCGGCUCACUGGACCGGAACUGACGCUGAGGCGCGAAAGCGUGGGGAGCAAACAGG
rnacentral:rRNA from 1 species